UAGUGAUGAGCUUGGACUAUAAACUUAGUAAAAGUUCACCCUUUUUAUGAAUUUUAUUUACUGAAAUGAAGAAAAAGUCUCCAAAACCCUUUUCACAUCAAGAUCCCUUUACAUCAUAAGUCAAUAUUUGUAUGAUACUCCGUAUAAGCACAAAAAUUAAGAGGUUGUAAAAUUAUUGAAAUUAUUGGACUCGGACGACUCGAAUCAUACAACGAUGGGUCUCUCAUCGGUGGCCAUUUUGGGUCUCAUUGGUGGGCUGGCACUGGUUAUCGCUAUUAUUUCGUUCGCUUUAAUUGUCGGACUCUUUGUUGAGAGAUAUGGCUCUUUGCAUACCUCUACAACCAAUGCGACUAUGGAAACAGACCACAUCCACCAGUAGUGAGUAGUGAGGAACCGGAAGUGGAUUACGUGGAAGAUACUUUUAUGGCCUGUUGUGUUGGUAAAAUGAAUUAAAUUGUCGAGCUAUCCAAAUGGAUGUUUGUGCGAACUAUUAAAGGACAUAUAUUUUAAAAGUA